CCUACGGGUGGCAGCAGUAGGGAAUCUUCCACAAUGGGCGAAAGCCUGAUGGAGCAACGCCGCGUGGGUGAAGAAGGUCUUCGGAUCGUAAAACCCUGUUGUUAGAGAAGAAAGUGCGUGAGAGUAACUGUUCACGUUUCGACGGUAUCUAACCAGAACGCCACGGCUAACUACGUGCCAGCAGCCGCGGUAAUAAGUAGGUGGCAAGCGUUAUCCGGAUUUAUUGGGCGUAAAGGGAGCGCAGGCGGUCUUUUAAGUCUGAUGGGAAAGCCUUCGGCUUAACCGGAGUAGUGCAUUGGAAACGGGGAGACUUGAGUGCAGAAGAGGAGAGUGGAACUCGAGGUGUAGCGGUGAAAUGCGUAGAUAUAUGGAAGAACACCAGUGGCGAAGGCGGCUCUCUGGUCUGUAACUGACGCUGAGGUUCGAAAGCGUGGGUAGCAAACAGGAUUAGAGACCCCUGUAGUC
rnacentral:rRNA from 1 species